CACUGGGACUUGAGACACUGCCCAGACUCCUACGGGUGGCUGCAUGUCGAGAAUCUUCGGCAAUGGGCGCAAGCCUGACCGAGCGACGCCGCGUGCGGGAUGAAGGCCUUCGGGUUGUAAACCGCUGUCAGACGGGACGAAGGGUCCGUGAAGAGCGGAACUUGACCUAUCCUCAGAGGAAGUGCGGGCUAAGUUCGUGCCAGCAGCCGCGGUAAGACUAACCGCACAAACGUGAUCCGGAAUCACUGGGCUUAAAGGGUGCGUAGGCGGCCGUUCAAGUCGGGUGUGAAAGCCCUCAGCUUAACUGAGGAAUUGCGCCCGAUACUGUUCGGCUUGAGGGAGACAGAGGUGAGCGGAACUUGCGGUGGAGCGGUGAAAUGCGUUGAUAUCGGAAGGAACACCAGUAGCGAAAGCGGCUCACUGGGUCUCUUCUGACGCUGAGGCACGAAAGCUAGGGUAGCGAAGAGGAUUAGAUACCCUCGUAGUCACUAGCUGUAAGACGCUGACCAUUGGAUUGGAGGGUCCUCCAUAGCCUUCCGCUCGUAGCGAAAGUGUUAAGUGCUCCGCCUGGGGAGUAUGUUCGCAAGUCUGACACUCUAAGGAAUUGACGGGGGCUCACACAAGCGGUGGAGGAAGUGGAUUAAUUCGAGGGUACGCGAAGAACCUAAUCCUGGAUUAGACAUGCUAGGGAAUCCCCUGGAAACAGGGGAGUGCCCCUCGGGGAGACCUAGCACAGGUGCAGCAUGACUGUCGUCAGCUCGUGUCGUGAGAUGUCGGGUUAAGUCCCUUAACGAGCCGAUACCCUAGUCGUUAGUUGCCAGCGGGUCAUACCGGGGACUCUUGCGAGACUGUCCGGUGUUAAACCGGAGGAAGGUGGGGAUGACGUCAAGUCAUCAUGGCCUUUAUGUCCAGGGUUGCACACGUCCUACAAUGGUGCGUACAAAGGGAAGCAUACUUGCGAGAGUAAGCA
rnacentral:rRNA from 1 species